GCCUCCCUCCGGGUCCGCCCUUUUAGCCCCGCGCUGCCCGCUUGCCAAUGCGGCUGGGCUUCUUGAGCCCGGGGACCUGGGGGAGCAGGAGGGGCAAGGCCACCCCCUACAGCCUCCAGUCAUCGUUACAAACUGAAGUCUCACGGUCAAUGCCAAUUCCAGCCACCACCAGAGUUCAAACACUUACCGUUCAAAGGAACAGAGAAAGCCGCCGGUGCUAAAAAAAAAAAAAAAAUCUAGAGGAAAAAACAACCCCACACGAUGGGGCAGUUCUUGAAUAUAGACGCCCUGGGAAAAAAGGCUCGAAACACCUUUUGGCCCCAAAGCUGGGAGACAUCAGUGCUCUUGAUUCUCAGGCCUUUGAAUUCAGACUGAAUUAUACCACCAGUUCUCCUGGGUUUUCAGAUGGAAGAUACCAGAUUGUGGGACUUCUUGGCCUCCAUAAUCAUCAACCGUGGCCGUGAUCGUACCGUGGUUAGUACUCUGCGUUGUGAUUUGUAGCAACCGUAUAAACAGGAUGGGUGCCAAUUAUUUAUAAAUACAUAAACAAAGUGACAAUGGUAGAUUGUCGGCAAAGAUGGUGGCUGGCCAUUCCUCCCAUCUCUAUGCGGGCAGGAAGCUCCCCCCUCUCAAGAGAUGGAGUCUAUUUCCUCACUCCUCGAGAGCUGGCCUUUGACUUGCUUUGACCACGAGAACAUGGCGGCGAUGCUAUCCCAGAACUUCUAAGUGGAAGCCUGGAAGUUUAGCUAGAGGGAAUACCAUCUGCUGUGUUAGGAUGUCCAGGGAUUCCUGCUGGAGAGGGAAGCCAAGCGGAGGGGACUCCAGGAACUCACCUGACAACCAGAAGGCCCCAGCGACAUGAGGGAGUCCAGUCAGCACCCCAGGAAAAGAGGCCCAGCUGUCCUAUGCAGUCCUCAGUUGUCCAAGCCAUUCCGGCUGAAGCACCAGCCCCGUGAGAGAGGCCAUCACGGUCCUCCAGCCCCUCAUGAACCCACCCCAGCUAACACCACAUGGAACACAGAAGAACUGUCCCUCUGCACCCUGCCUAGUUCUUGACCCACAGACUCAUGAGCAAAUAAAAUGAUUGUUAUUUUAAGCCGCCACAUUUAGGUGUGGUUGGCCUGUUAUGUCCCAGUGGAUAACCUCCCAGUGACAACUUGCUAAAUCCUUAAAAUUGGGAUUUACCAAAUCUUGAAACAUUUCAGAGGCCAAAAGGAAAAGAUGAGUAGAAUAUCCAUUAACCAAAGCUGUCAUAACUAAGGGAAUUUUUUAAAAGUCCUUUUGAAAAAG